GUUAAGCGACUAAGCGUACACGGUGGAUGCCCUGGCAGUCAGAGGCGAUGAAGGGCGUGCUAAUCUGCGAUAAGCGCCGGUAAGGUGAUAUGAACCGUUAUAACCGGCGAUACCCGAAUGGGGAAACCCAGUGUGAUUCGUCACACUAUCAUUAACUGAAUCCAUAGGUUAAUGAGGCGAACCGGGGGAACUGAAACAUCUAAGUACCCCGAGGAAAAGAAAUCAACCGAGAUUCCCCCAGUAGCGGCGAGCGAACGGGGAGGAGCCCAGAGCCUGAAUCAGCAUGUGUGUUAGUGGAAGCGUCUGGAAAGGCGCGCGAUACAGGGUGACAGCCCCGUACACAAAAGCGCAUGUGCUGUGAGCUCGAUGAGUAGGGCGGGACACGUGGUAUCCUGUCUGAAUAUGGGGGGACCAUCCUCCAAGGCUAAAUACUCCUGACUGACCGAUAGUGAACCAGUACCGUGAGGGAAAGGCGAAAAGAACCCCGGCGAGGGGAGUGAAAAAGAACCUGAAACCGUGUACGUACAAGCAGUGGGAGCNNGGGCGUUAAGUUGCAGGGUAUAGACCCGAAACCCGGUGAUCUAGCCAUGGGCAGGUUGAAGGUUGGGUAACACUAACUGGAGGACCGAACCGACUAAUGUUGAAAAAUUAGCGGAUGACCUGUGGCUGGGGGUGAAAGGCCAAUCAAACCGGGAGAUAGCUGGUUCUCCCCGAAAGCUAUUUAGGUAGCGCCUCGUGAAUUCAUCUCCGGGGGUAGAGCACUGUUUCGGCUAGGGGGCCAUCCCGGCUUACCAACCCGAUGCAAACUGCGAAUACCGGAGAAUGUUAUCACGGGAGACACACGGCGGGUGCUAACGUCCGUCGUGAAGAGGGAAACAACCCAGACCGCCAGCUAAGGUCCCAAAGUCAUGGUUAAGUGGGAAACGAUGUGGGAAGGCCCAGACAGCCAGGAUGUUGGCUUAGAAGCAGCCAUCAUUUAAAGAAAGCGUAAUAGCUCACUGGUCGAGUCGGCCUGCGCGGAAGAUGUAACGGGGCUAAACCAUGCACCGAAGCUGCGGCAGCGA
rnacentral:rRNA from 1 species